rnacentral:sRNA from 1 species
CCCCCAACCCCUUCUUGUGCAGUUUUUAUUCUGUCUGGGAUCCCCUACUCCCCAGGGGUGAAGCCAUCACAUUCGGGGUUUUCUUCUCUCCACUGUUCAACUUCUCUGGAAACAUCCUCACAGAUACACCUCUCCUAUAUCCUAUAUCGAUACCAUUUUAAUAUCCUUCCAAGUUGACAAUGAACAUUACCCAGCCCCAUGGUAAAAACUUUAAGAAGCAGGUGACCAAGCCUUUAGGUCAAUGGAGGGAGACUCUGGGGCUCUGGCUUCUUUCGCUUCAUUUCCUGGCCAUGGGGUGAGUAGUUUUGCUAAGUUAAGCACUUCCAACAUAACCACCAACCUUACCACAGGCCCAAAGCAAUGGAGCAACUAGUUCUGGGCUAGACAGAGAGUUCAAACCAUGAGCCGGAAUGAAGCUUUUCUCUUUACAACGCUGGUUACCUAAAUCAUUGGUUCUUCACCUUCCUAAUUCUGCGCCUUUUAUACAGUUUCUCAUGCUGUAGUGACCUCCAACCAUAAAAGUGUUCUCAUUGCUACUUCAUAAUUUUGCUACUGUUCUGAGUCAUAAGGUAAAGAUUUUUGUACAUAGAGGUUUGUCAACAGGGUUUCAACUCACAGGUUGAGAACUACUGAUCUUAAUUCACUUGUUAUGAGUGUUGAAAGCUAACACGAAAUCAUUGUGAAGAUGAUAUUCAUCUACUGACCUUCAAAACCUAAUACUGUGGCUGUGGAGAUGGCUCUGAUAGGUAAAGAAUUGGCUUUUUGAGCCCAAGGACCCCAGUUUGAUUCCACAUAAAGAUGAUGUUAGUUGUGAAACAUGACUAUAAUCUCAGAGCUGAGAGGUAGAAAAGGAAGGAUAUACAGUCUCAGCCAGUAGAGCCUAAUUUGUGACCUCCAGAUCAGUAAGAGACACUGUUUCAAAGGAGAUAAAUGGUGUUCAUGAGGAUAACUACUAAGGGUGUCCUUUAGCAUUCACAUGCAUGUGCGUACCUGAGCAUAUAUAUUUAAAAACAACCAAAUUAAUACCACAGGCUUGAAAUGUAGCCCAGAGGCACAGUACUUAAUCAGACGCUGUAACAAACUUUACCAUAUGUGAUUCUGUUCCCUACCUUCUUUUCUAUGGCAAACAUUAUGUGAUGUUCCUCACAAUCUCUUACCCAGAUGACUUUUAUUUAUUUAUUAUCAUUACUAUUGAGCGUGUGGAUGAUGGGGAGGGGGCAUGCAUACCACAGCACAAGUAUGCUGACCAGAGGACAACUGUCAAUGGACUGCAAAUGCACAAAUAAUCUUAAUAAGCUAAAAAUGCUACAAAAUAAAGACCUGAAUUUCCAAAUUGGUAAAAUAUCCAAAUGUUGUAUGGCUAUCCAUACAUUCAAAUUACUUUGAAUUUUAUGUUUGACGCUGUCAAUCCGCAGAGAAUUUAGGAGGGAAAAACUUAAAAAUAACGAAGCUAUGUGACCUUAGGCCAAUUGGCUGCUUUUGACCUGCUUCCUCCUCUGUAAAACGGAAUGUUUCUCAUGAUUGUCUCAGUAUAACUGUCACUAGUGUCUGAUACCAAGGAGGAGAGGUAGGGGUCGGGUGUUGAACCUGGCUGGGCGCCCAAGCAAGGUUUGGAUAAUGUGCACGAGACAGCGUGGCCCUCUGCAGACCAGCGGUCCCACCAGAGUGUAGGAAAGAUAAACGGAGAGCUUUUCGAUUUUCACCCGCGUAGUUCUGUCCUCCAAGGUACUUUCAGCGGCCGGGCUGAAUACACAGCACAGGGCUGGUCACCCGAGCAGCCAAGCUCCUCCACCAGCCACGCGCAAAGGCGCCAGCGCGGCGAAGUCAUGGCCACUCCCAGCCGCCGACCGUCCGUGCCGACUAGGCUCGAAGCAGGCAGUGACCUCGCCUCCAACUGCGGCAGUUCGUUUGAAUUCUGGCGCCACUCCCACGCCACGUAGAGCCCAGCGGCCCGCCAGACUCUGAAGAGACUGGUGGAGGCGAGCCAGCGGGAGCGCGCGAAGAAAUAGACAGGCACGCGGCAGGCGGACGGCGCGCACCACGCCCCGGAAUGGCCCGGAAGAAAAGAGAGAGUCCAGGCGCCGGCUCCCACGCGUUGCUUCAAGAAAAGCCACGCCCCCACGUGCAACCGCGUCCAAUCGGUGCAAGAAGGAGGAGCAGCCUCGAUCUCGCGCAAAGGGAGCUAUAAAAGGAGCUGCGGGGCGCCAGGCUCUUUCUUUUACGACGGAGCUUGAGUUCGCUGUUUGUGGUGUAGGGACAAUGGCGCCAUUGUUCUUCGCGUCUUCAAAGCAGUUUCCAGAGGAAACAAAGAUGGCGGGGAGCUCAAAGCAUCCGAGAGAAUUCGUGAAGGGAGGAAAGUUGCUUAAAACUUGACCAUGUUAAAGUUCUUACUCCUGGCACGUCAUGAUACUUUCUGCCAGCAGUGAAUGCCAGCCCAUUGAGAUGCCCGUCCUCUGGGAAGCUCCUGGAGCAGAAAUGCAUGGCCAGUGAGAGGAGACUUCUUGCGAAGGAAAACUGGAUGUGGUGAUGUUCAGAAAAAGCAGACACAAGAAGCAAAUACAGAGUAUUAGUACUGGGAUGUUUGAGAUGGGGUCUGCAUGGCCCUUGCUGUGUCCCUCUUAAACUGUCUAGUGGAUGGGACAGCAUCUGGUAUGGCCUGCAGAGUUGAGCCUUGUGUAUACCUUUUGAAGGCUCUAUGUUAAUGUAUGACAGAGUGUUCUAUUCUGGGAAGGUUAUGGGUGAGCUGAGGAUACAACUUUACAGACUAAGCACAAUGAGUGUACAAUUACUGUAAAAAAGGCAGUUCAACAUUUUUAUUGGUUAUGAAUUGUUUCCUUAUUCAUCCAACAGUGAUCACUUGGGAGUGCUGCAAUAAACAUUCAGCUGCAAAUAUU